rnacentral:lncRNA from 1 species
GUCUCGAUGGAGGAGCGAGAAACGCAAGAGGUCGGGGGGAGAAGCCGCAGAAAAAAUUGCAGCCAUCGUCAGCGCCGCCUCCCUGCCACCGUGUAUGGGGUAAAAGCUGCCGUUGCCGCUGCCGGUGCAGUCGCUGCCGCCGCCUCCUAUACUUCUUAGCACCGGGGAAGGAUUCCCCGCCGCGGGACAGUGUGCUGGGCGGGGAGCGGGAGUUCGUUUGUGUGGCGGUGAUUAAACGAGGGAGGGACAGAGCUGGUUUCUCGAACCGAAAAGGGGAGGCCAAGGAACAAAACAGGGUUCUCCACUAAAAUCACACAGCGAUUACGGAUCUGGCUUUGGGGGCCUUUCCCCGGAAUGGCGGUUUCCGUCUUCUUGGCCCGCAGCACGACCUUGGGUGCUCCGUAAGAGGAGUGGGGAGAGGCAGAGGCGGUGUCGGCAGCCAAUCGGCGUCUGGUGAUUUCUGUCGGGCGCGUAGGGAUUGGCUGACGAUGACCUCAUGCUGCAGCAGCGGGUGGGGCCAGAGUCGUCGGGGGUGGCUGUUGCAAAGGCAGAGAGUGAGAAGUGAUGACGGUGAUCGUUGUCGCCGCGUCUUCUGUGGAACCCAAGCAGUGCCGAAGGAAGUCGCAAGGCUCUUCCCCGACCUUUUGCUCCUCUCCCUGCGCGAGACACUGGGAUUGGUGGCAUGAGUCACCAUGUCCAGCUUCUUUGUGGUUUGUUUGAUGUUUCUGUUGUCCUUAGAGACUCAUCUAAGGUAUCACUGCUUCUAGAGCCAGCGAUUGCAUAAGGCCCCUUGAUUGAAUUUAAACAGUCUCCUAGAUUGAUUCUGCCUCCCAACAAGAACAAACUGAGGAAGUGAUGAGCCACGUAGCCGGUGACCCUUAGAGUUUUAGAUGUGCGGUUCCCUUCAUGUAUACUUUACAGAAAACCAGCUAAGCCGGGCGUGGUGGCGCACGCCUUUAGUCCCAGCACUCUGGAGGCAGAGGCAGGCGGAUUUCUACAAAGUGAGGCCAGCCUGGUCUACAAAGUGAGUUCCAGGACAGCCCCAGGGCUAUACAGAGAAACCCUGUCUCAAAAAAAGAAAGAAAGAAAGAAAGAGAGAGAGAGAGAGAGAGAGAGAGAGAGAGAGAGAGAGAGAGAGAGAGAGAGAGAGAAAAGAAACCCAGCUAAAGUAGAGAAAGGUGUUUAGAAAACUUAAUGUUAACUUUUUUGUUUUAACUUUUAAUUCUUUAGGAAUGUUUCUUAAGUAGUGAUUUAUAUUAGCUACUGGGAUUAUAAUGCUAAGCUUUAGACAUUUUAUUUGGAAUAAAAUGUUAUAUGGAUUCUUUUGUCAUGCAUGUGAUUUUUGUGCUCAUUUUGCAAUAAAGUUAAGUAUUUUGGUUUUAUUUUG